CCAGGGAUGAGGGUUUCAAGAGAGAGAUCCAGGCAGCAGCGGCAUCACCUUUCAAUGACCUAACGUAACUCCUCCUUUUCAUGAGGACUGGCAAGGUCACAUUGUAAGAAGAGCAAGUGGGAUGGGAGAUGACACUGUCGCAUUUGAAAAUGCAAUUUGUCACAUCAGGUCAUGAGCAGGUCACCUCCUGGUCCAUCUGCAGAAGGGGCCCAGGGGAUUCAGUUCUGCCUUCUAGGAAGGCCAGUGUUGGGAUCUUAGAGCCCUGCUGGGAAAAAGGCCAGGGGAGAGUUGGGAACUUGGUCUUCACAAGCACUCCCAGCUUCCCCUCUCCGGGGUCAUUUACCAAGUGCUCAGAGGAAUUGGAACCAAGGGCAAUGGGGCCAGGAGCGUGACCAGGAACCCUAAAGUCUGCUCCCCUGGAGGGCUGAAAUCUCCGAGAAAGGCAGGGACUCAGCGCCCAGACGUAUGUUUCUCCUGCUGGCAUCUCUGCUUGGCUAACAUUCCUCCUCUUUCAUUUCUCCCUGGGGCAUGUUGUUGUCUUUCUCAUUAAUUUCCCCUCAACUCCCAGCAAGGUCCCUAGACUGUGAGCUUUGCUAAUUCCCUGUAAUCCACUGGCAAAGCAGGAAGCUAAUUAAAUUGUGAGCUGUGUGCUCACUCUGUCAGUCUCUGAAUCUCUCUUCUCAGUCCCUCUCCCAUCUGUCUCUUCCUUUCUCACUGCCCCUGGAUAGUUUACUUUCAUCUGGACACUUUCAGUAUCUUCUCACCCAUCUGCCUUCCUCUCCCCUCUUCUUUCUCCUGCUUUUCAAUCUGCAGAGUAAUCUUCUUAAAAUACAGCUUUGAGCACACCUUCUUCUCCUCUACUGUAAGGUAAAAGCUCCUUAGCUCAGCAGUUAAGCCCCACACUCCUUACCAUAACUUCCCAUCACAAACCCUUAUCCACAACCAAGCCUGGUACAUUUCCUUCCCUAAGCUCCACCUACGCCACCUCCUCACCUUGGUUCACAUUCUUAUCUUUGACUGGAUCCCACCCCCUCACUCCUCCAUCUCCACUUCCAUCUCACCCUGUCAAAAUCCUCACCAUUAUUUAGAAAGAGCCUCUUCAGGCCGGGCACGGUGGCUCACGCCUGUAAUCCCAACACUUUGGGAGGCCGAGGUGGGUGGAUCACGAGGUCAGGAGAUCGAGACCAUCCUGGCCAACACGGUGAAACUGUCUCUACUAAAAAUACAAAAAAACUAGCUGGGUGUGGUAGUGCACACCUGUA
rnacentral:lncRNA from 1 species